rnacentral:lncRNA from 1 species
CUAAUCAACAGCUGGCCCCAGGGCGGGUGGCUCUCUUUCCACUCUGCUCCCACUCCCUCCACUAUCUGCCAGGGCAGACGCUCCUGUGGGGAGGUCCAGGCAGAGCCCAGUCUCCCUGUCCCUGUGCUCGGGUGUGCAGGGAUUCCCAGGCUCCUGCUGCUGUCAUCUCAUCCUGGCAUCAGGGCCAACCACUUCCCAACUCCACUGAGCUUCCCCCUCAGGAAAUCCCACCUAGUCCUCUCAGGAGAGCAGGCACAGAGAAAAGGGAGCCAGAACCAACCAACCAGCCAUGGAGAGGCUGGGAGAA